rnacentral:rRNA from 1 species
GGAUCCCAUCAGAACUCCAAAGUUAAGCGUGCUUGGGCUAGAGUAGUACUAGGGUGGGUGACCUCCUGGGAAGUCCUCAUGUUGCAUUCCCUUUUUCAUUAUUAUUUUUGCUGCACGCGAGAAACAUGACUGCACGUGCGCAGUAAAUAUUGAACGCACGUGCGGGUAAAUGUUAGACGUGAUUUCUUAUUUCUGACGUUUGCGGUGAGUUGCAGCUUGCGGAUCGAUGUUGACGCAUGUAGGGGACGGCGUUAUGGUGCGAGAGGCGCCAGUUUUUAAAAGCGUUCGACGGCGUAUGAAAACUCGUGGCAACAUGGCGACGGAGAGGGAGUGGUGAAAACCGUGGUAAACGUGGGAACGGUUGUUGAGGUGGCUAGAAAGUAGUAUGGUAAAGUACCCAGCGCUGGCUAGGAAUGUAUGGUAGAGUUUAUAGUGGAGCUACGAGGAGCGAGCAUAAGGGACGAAGGGAUAAGAAACAUGUCGGAUGCGAUCAUACCAGCACUAAGGCACC